rnacentral:rRNA from 1 species
UACGUAGGGUGCGAGCGUUGUCCGGAAUUAUUGGGCGUAAAGAGCUCGUAGGCGGUUUGUUGCGUCGGCCGUGAAAACCUGCAGCUUAACUGUGGGCCUGCGGUCGAUACGGGCAGACUUGAGUUCGGUAGGGGAGACUGGAAUUCCUGGUGUAGCGGUGAAAUGCGCAGAUAUCGGGAGGAACACCAAUGGCGAAGGCAGCUCGCUGGGACGUUACUGACGCUGAGACGCGAAAGCGUGGGGAGCAAACAGG